AGAUAGAUAUGUGUAAUGUGUGAACAAACGGGUUGUAAUUCACCCAUGUGUUUUAGGGUCGUAGCAUUCUCUCCAACAAGAUGGCCAGAACCAUUACAUUCUUCUACACCCUCUUCCUGCAUUGCCUGGUCUUCCUGGUGCUUUAUGAGACUGCCUGGAGUGAGAGCAUCGGUCGAGACUGCUCUGCCUUCUGUGCCAAGAAGUACUCGGAUCYCCUGCAUCGUUUUCAUGAGAACGGGGACAACCUGUGACGCUUUCAAGACAACUGGUGGGUGGGGGGGGCGGACUAGGUCAGUUCAUGACGUCAGUGAUCUUCAGGUCAUAAAGUCGGAGUUCUAGAAAGAUGCCAGAAUUCCCGACUAGGAAUUCUGAGUUGGGUGGACCGUUCAACACUAUUUUCCAAGUCUGAGUUUUUUUCCCGAGUUGGUUUGACAGGAAGAACAGCUUUAUUUUCUGCAGUAGCUGCUUUUAACCACUAGGUGGUAGACUUGCUCUCUUCUUCGGGGGGGGGGGAACUAAGUGGAUGUGGUUUACGUGCAAACCCGUAAUAUUACAUUUUCAAAUCUUUGCAUUAACCGUGAACUUAAACAAGACCAAUGUGAUUUUGGCUAGUCGAGCUGUCAAUGGGAUGCUGGUCAGAAAAGUCGCCUUAGGUCUUGCUAUAUUCUGUUCUAGCCUGUAUUCUCCUAUUACUGAUAUUAACUGUAAUCUCCUAUGCUGAUAUGAACUGUAAUCUCCUAUACUGAUAUGAACUGUAAUC